GGGGUGGUAGUUCAGCCGGUUAGAACGCUGGCCUGUCACGCCAGAGGUCGCGGGUUCGAUCCCCGUCCACCCCGCCA
rnacentral:tRNA from 1 species